rnacentral:rRNA from 1 species
ACGCUCGACACCUACGGGAGUCAGCAGUGGGGGAUAUUGCACAAUGGGGGAAACCCUGAUGCAGCAACGCCGCGUGAAGGAUGAAGGUUUUCGGAUUGUAAACUUCUGUUCUUAGUGACGAUAAUGACGGUAGCUAAGAAGAAAGCUCCGGCUAACUACGUGCCAGCAGCCGCGGUAAUCUGAGCGGGCUGGCAAGGC